CUCGCAAUUGAAGCGCGGUAGAAGGGGAGCAAAUGGUAGUAAUCAUCAUCAUCACAUCAGUGGUAACAAUAUUAUUCAUAAUAAUAACAAUAGUGAUAGUGAUAACUAAGAGUUGAACUUAGAUUUUUGCAGUAAUUUAGAAGUAGAUUUGUAGGUUUCUCUGUGUUACCCCAUUGAUUGUGGAAAACUGGAACUUGAGAAUUGAGAAUAGGGAAUAUUUCUAAUGUUGGGUGCAUCCUCCGUAGUGCUUAUGAAGCUUCAUUUAUAACAGCAAUUUGACUGGUUUUUAAAAUUGUAUCUGUUAUAGAACAUGUAGCGACUACUCU
rnacentral:misc_RNA from 1 species